GUGUUCACUUUGACCACACAUACACUAAAACUGGAAUAAUACAGACAAAGUUAGCAUGGCACUUCGCAAGGUUGACAUGCAGAUUCGGGUAAUGUUCCCCUUCUUU